rnacentral:rRNA from 1 species
GACGAACGCUGGCGGCGUGCUUAACACAUGCAAGUCGAACGGAAAGGCCCUGCUUUUGUGGGGUGCUCGAGUGGCGAACGGGUGAGUAACACGUGAGUAACCUGCCCUUGACUUUGGGAUAACUUCAGGAAACUGGGGCUAAUACCGGAUAGGAGCUCCUGCUGCAUGGUGGGGGUUGGAAAGUUUCGGCGGUUGGGGAUGGACUCGCGGCUUAUCAGCUUGUUGGUGGGGUAGUGGCUUACCAAGGCUUUGACGGGUAGCCGGCCUGAGAGGGUGACCGGCCACAUUGGGACUGAGAUACGGCCCAGACUCCUACGGGAGGCAGCAGUGGGGAAUAUUGCACAAUGGGCGGAAGCCUGAUGCAGCAACGCCGCGUGCGGGAUGACGGCCUUCGGGUUGUAAACCGCUUUCGCCUGUGACGAAGCGUGAGUGACGGUAAUGGGUAAAGAAGCACCGGCUAACUACGUGCCAGCAGCCGCGGUGAUACGUAGGGUGCGAGCGUUGUCCGGAUUUAUUGGGCGUAAAGGGCUCGUAGGUGGUUGAUCGCGUCGGAAGUGUAAUCUUGGGGCUUAACCCUGAGCGUGCUUUCGAUACGGGUUGACUUGAGGAAGGUAGGGGAGAAUGGAAUUCCUGGUGGAGCGGUGGAAUGCGCAGAUAUCAGGAGGAACACCAGUGGCGAAGGCGGUUCUCUGGGCCUUUCCUGACGCUGAGGAGCGAAAGCGUGGGGAGCGAACAGGCUUAGAUACCCUGGUAGUCCACGCUGUAAACGGUGGGUACUAGGUGUGGGGUCCAUUCCACGGGUUCCGUGCCGUAGCUAACGCUUUAAGUACCCCGCCUGGGGAGUACGGCCGCAAGGCUAAAACUCAAAGGAAUUGACGGGGCCCCGCACAAGCGGCGGAGCAUGCGGAUUAAUUCGAUGCAACGCGUAGAACCUUACCUGGGUUUGACAUGGAUCGGGAGCGCUCAGAGAUGGGUGUGCCUCUUUUGGGGUCGGUUCACAGGUGGUGCAUGGCUGUCGUCAGCUCGUGUCGUGAGAUGUUGGGUUAAGUCCCGCAACGAGCGCAACCCUUGUUCACUGUUGCCAGCACGUUAUGGUGGGGACUCAGUGGAGACCGCCGGGGUCAACUCGGAGGAAGGUGGGGAUGACGUCAAGUCAUCAUGCCCCCUAUGUCCAGGGCUUCACGCAUGCUACAAUGGCUGGUACAGAGAGUGGCGAGCCUGUGAGGGUGAGCGAAUCUCGGAAAGCCGGUCUCAGUUCGGAUUGGGGUCUGCAACUCGACCUCAUGAAGUCGGAGUCGCUAGUAAUCGCAGAUCAGCAACGCUGCGGUGAAUACGUUCCCGGG